AGAAAGUAUGCAGAAACUGAUCCAAAUAUUCUGGAUGCCGUCCAGAAAUAAAUCCGUUAAAACCGAGUGCUUGCAGUGCGGUGAAAUCAAAUUUCGAGUGGUGACCAUUCAAACAAGUCGGCUCCUAAUUCGGUCGCAUUAGCUCUAAAGGAAAAUGCUCACCUACCUAAGAAACCCGAUCACCCAGGGCAGGGAAUGGUCGUUUUGGCCCGAUGCGAAGUUUUACUACCACUACAAAAUCUAUCGACCCCUUAGCUUUUACGUGGAUUGGCCAUUCACAGCAAGGGAGAGAUUUCCACAAUAUUGGCCCUCAAAUAGAUCCUACCGGUACUAUUGGGAUGAUUUCCCAUCUGAGGCGGCCUUCAGGGAAAUUCGGCUGAAAAAUGAUCUCUACUUCGACCGAUAAACUCAACCAACAGACGAACAUGUUCCAGCCAGAAUACUGCACCGAAGAGUCCAGAUUUUCAACAACUAACGUUUAAUCAUAUUUCUGUUAUUUUCAUUAUACAGUUUUUACUAUUUAUAUAACAAAACUAAUACAGCUGCACGCGGAUUGGACUAGAUUUUCUCAAAUGCAUGUACUUCGGUUGCGGUUAUGGAAAAGUGAUAUUUACAUGUUAGGUAUAAGGAAAAAUCAUAUAUUUUUGUAAAUAUUUAUGUACAUAUAUAUAUAUUUGAAUCAACUGCAAGCCAAAUAAAAUGACUAAAGCACUUU